GUGCCAGCAGCCGCGGUAAUACGUAGGGGACAAGCGUUGUCCGGAUUUACUGGGCGUAAAGGGCACGCAGGCGGUUUUUUAAGUCAGAUGUGAAAGGUACCGGCUCAACCGGUGACAUGCAUUUGAAACUGAAAGACUUGAGUAUUGGAGAGGCAAGUGGAAUUCCUAGUGUAGCGGUGAAAUGCGUAGAUAUUAGGAGGAACACCGGUGGCGAAGGCGGCUUGCUGGACAAAUACUGACGCUGAGGUGCGAAAGCGUGGGGAGCAAACACGAUUAGAUACCCUGGUAGUCCACGCCGUAAACGAUGAGUGCUAGGUGUUGGGGAGACUCAGUGCCGCAGCUAACGCAAUAAGCACUCCGCCUGGGGAGUACGACCGCAAGGUUGAAACUCAAAGGAAUUGACGGGGACCCGCACAAGCAGCGGAGCAUGUGGUUUAAUUCGAAGCAACGCGAAGAACCUUACCAGGUCUUGACAUCCUCUGACCAUCUGAGAGAUCAGACUUUCCCUUCGGGGACAGAGAGACAGGUGGUGCAUGGUUGUCGUCAGCUCGUGUCGUGAGAUGUUGGGUUAAGUCCCGCAACGAGCGCAACCCCUGUGGUUAGUUGCCAUCAUUUAGUUGGGCACUCUAAGCAGACUGCCGUGGAUAACACGGAGGAAGGUGGGGACGACGUCAAAUCAUCAUGCCCCUUAUGACCUGGGCUACACACGUGCUACAAUGGUCUGAACAGAGGGCUGCGAAACCGCGAGGUGAAGCUAAUCCCUUAAAACAGAUCUCAGUUCGGAUUGCAGGCUGCAACUCGCCUGCAUGAAGUUGGAGUUGCUAGUAAUCGCAGAUCAGAAUGCUGCGGUGAAUGCGUUCCCGGGUCUUGUACACACCGCCCGUCACACCACGAGAGUUGGCAACACCCGAAGUCAGUGAGGCAACCGUAAGGAGCCAGCUGCCGAAGGUGGGGUCAGUAAUUGGGGUGAAGUCGUAACAAGGUAACCGU
rnacentral:rRNA from 1 species